rnacentral:rRNA from 1 species
AGCGAACGCUGGCGGCAGGCCUAACACAUGCAAGUCGAACGAACUCUUCUGAGUUAUUGGCGGACGGGUGAGUAACACGUGGGAACGUGCCUUUUGGUUCGGAAUAACUCAGGGAAACUUGUUCUAAUACCGAAUGUGCCCUUCGGGGGAAAGAUUUAUCGCCAUUAGAGCGGCCCGCGUCUGAUUAGCUAGUUGGUGAGGUAACGGCUCACCAAGGCGACGAUCAGUAGCUGGUCUGAGAGGAUGACCAGCCACACUGGGACUGAGACACGGCCCAGACUCCUACGGGAGGCAGCAGUGGGGAAUCUUGCGCAAUGGGCGAAAGCAUGACGCAGCCAUGCCGCGUGAAUGAUGAAGGUCUUAGGAUUGUAAAAUUCUUUCACCGGGGACGAUAAUGACGGUACCCGGAGAAGAAGCCCCGGCUAACUUCGUG